rnacentral:rRNA from 1 species
UAGGGAAUCUUCCACAAUGGACGCAAGUCUGAUGGAGCAACGCCGCGUGAGUGAAGAAGGUUUUCGGAUCGUAAAGCUCUGUUGUUGGUGAAGAAGGAUAGAGGUAGUAACUGGCCUUUAUUUGACGGUAAUCAACCAGAAAGUCACGGCUAACUACGUGCCAGCAGCCGCGGUAAUACGUAGGUGGCAAGCGUUGUCCGGAUUUAUUGGGCGUAAAGCGAGCGCAGGCGGAAGAAUAAGUCUGAUGUGAAAGCCCUCGGCUUAAUCGAGGAACUGCAUCGGAAACUGUUUUUCUUGAGUGCAGAAGAGGAGAGUGGAACUCCAUGUGUAGCGGUGGAAUGCGUAGAUAUAUGGAAGAACACCAGUGGCGAAGGCGACUCUCUGGUCUGCAACUGACGCUGAGGCUCGAAAGCAUGGGUAGCGAACAGG